GACGAACGCUGGCGGCGUGCUUAACACAUGCAAGUCGAACGGAAAGGCCCUGCUUGCAGGGUACUCGAGUGGCGAACGGGUGAGUAACACGUGGGUGAUCUGCCCUGCACUUCGGGAUAAGCCUGGGAAACUGGGUCUAAUACCGGAUAGGAGCCAUUUUUAGUGUGAUGGUUGGAAAGUUUUUUCGGUGUAGGAUGAGCUCGCGGCCUAUCAGCUUGUUGGUGGGGUAAUGGCCUACCAAGGCGGCGACGGGUAGCCGGCCUGAGAGGGUGGACGGCCACAUUGGGACUGAGAUACGGCCCAGACUCCGACGGGAGGCAGCAGUGGGGAAGAUUGCACAAUGGGCGCAAGCCUGAUGCAGCGACGCCGCGUGGGGGAUGACGGCCUUCGGGUUGUAAACGCCUUUCGCUAGGGACGAAGCUUUUUGUGACGGUACCUAGAGAAGAAGCACCGGCUAACUACGUG
rnacentral:rRNA from 1 species